CCAAAGCGGGUGGUAAACUCCAUCUAAGGCUAAAUACAACCACGAGACCGAUAGCGAACAAGUACCGUGAGGGAAAGUUGAAAAGGACUUUGAAGAGAGAGUUCAAGAGUACGUGAAACCGCUCAGGGGUAAACGGAAAAGACCCGAAAUUCCGAAAAGGGAGAUUCACGUCUGCUCGCACGUGCUCGGCACUUGUCGCGUUUGGACGACCGUUUGUGCCCCCGCUUUCGACGCAAGUUGAAGCGGUCGGGUCUGGUUGCCGGCGUGUCAGUUUCGUUCCGAGCCGCGGCGGACCGCACUUCUCCCUUAGUAGGACGUCGCGACCCGCUCGUCCGUGGCCUACGGCUGAGCAAGACGCCUGGCGCUCGCUGGGGGGUCGGUUUCGGCCGGUCUCUCGCGGGUCUGUCAGACUGCUCAUGCUUCCCGGCCACGGUAACGGACGGUAUCGAAUACCGGUGUCGAGUCGCUUCCACGCGCCGGGGGUCACACCCUGGUGUAUGUAAGCGUCCUAGGCGGAGGGCAAGGUUUCUGAGUUUCUAAAAACGCAAGUUUUGAAGUCAAGACGUUUAUUUUUUGUUCGUCUGACGGAGCUCGGGCCUGUUGGUUCUCUGUCUUUGGGCUGGCUCGUUCCCAUUGCGCGGAGAAAGGCACCAGUCGGCGGCGAUCUAGUUUUGGGCUCUUUUCCGA
rnacentral:rRNA from 1 species